rnacentral:lncRNA from 1 species
AGAUGUUCCCAGGACGCGAGCUAAGUCUGCCCGGCCGGCGCGCGCCGCUUCCGCUUUGGUGGGAAGGACCUCCCUUCCCCCUUAUAGAAACACUUUCUCCAGGCCGGGCCGGGCUUGGUAAACCUCAGCCGUGCCUGGGUAGAGGACGCCGGGCUGGGCCGAGCGGGGGUGGAAUGAGGGCGUCUAGAACAGAGAAAACUAAGUAGGAUGGGGUCGUCCCCCCAGUAAUCUGGAAAACAGUUACAGCAACAGGCUCCUCUCAUCAGACGGCAGUGCUGGUCGUUUCCUCACUGGUUUGCGGGGAAGGCUGGGCAGAAAAAGGAUGCAACCUUGUUCUCAACCACUUGCUAUCUCGAUAGGGUCUUGCUGUGUCACCCAGAUUGGAGUGCAGUGGUGUGAUCACAGCUCACUGCAGCCUUGACCUCUAGGCUCAAGUGAGCCCCUACCAAGCAGCUGGGACUACAAGUGCGCACCACCAUACCCAGCUAAUUUUUUCAUUUUUUGUAGAGACAGGGUCUCACUGUAUUGCUCAGGCUGGUCUUGAACUCCUGAGAUCAAGCGAUCCUCCCACUGUGGCCUCCCAAAGUGCUGGGAUUAUAGAUGUGAGCUACCAUGCCUGGCCUCAAAACAUUUUUGUAAUCUGGCUGUUUUCCAGUUGGAUGGACUCUGAGUGCAAUCUCAAUGUCUUUCCUGAUCAGUAAGAGGAAGAAAGGAGCUGUUGUAUAAUCUUUGGUCCACUUGCUAUAUAGGAAUAGAUCUUUACUGCUACAUAUACAUAAUUCUGUACGGAACAGUCAUGUUCCUUGGAUUCUGACAGCAUCGCCAAUAUGUGCUUUGAAACCUCCUACCUGGCACAGAUAUGAUGAAUCUACUCAUAUCCUUGAACCUCUUUUUCAUCACUUUUCAUCAUUCAAACAUUUUUAUUGAAUCUAUAUGCUAAGCUCUGUAUAUAAAGUAUUAGAUAACUUGUACAGAGUUCAUGUGGGGUAUGAUAAACAAUGAGACUGGAAAGGUAAGCAGUGGGUAGAUCAUCCUUUAUCCUAAGAGCAGUGUAGCCUUUGAAUGGUUUUAAGCAGGAGAGUAGCAUAAUCAGAUUUGCAUUUUAGAUCCAUGUGGUUGCAGUGAGGAGGAUAGAGAGAGCAAGACUGAAGUCAGGGGGGCCAGGCAAGGUUUUUGUAGUACCUGAGGAGAAAAACGAGAAAUGAUGUGGUCUGGACUAGGAAAGUGAUAGUGGUGAUGGAGAGGACGUAGAAAUGCCCAGGGGGCAUCCAAGUAGAAACAUCUCUCCAACUCGUCAGAACUUCCCAACUGUGUGCCUCAGGAAGAGUUUACGGUGGUGCUGCAUAAUGGGCUUCACAAUUCUCAGGGCAGCACAAGCUUCCUGAGUCAGAGAGCAAUCUUGGUUAUGCCAGAUUGCAUCAUCCAGCAUAUAAAACACCAUCAUUUACUAUGUGUGUACUGACAUGGAAAAGGUUGGGAAGCACUGAUGUAGGCUGUGGGAUAAAUAAUUCUGAAGCUCAGGAGAGGAAUCAGGAUGAUAGAUAAGAGAUUUGUGAGUCCUCAGAACGUUGGUGGUUACUGAAGUCAUGGAGUUGAGGAGAUCAUGCAAGGAGAGAAAAGAAAGGCAGGAACAGAACCCCAAGGAACAUCAACAUUAGAGGGGGGUCUCCAGAGAGGGAGAAAGAAAACUGAAUGAAUGCUGUCACCAGAACCCAAGAAAGGGAUUUCCAAAAAAAAAGACCAAAUACAGUCGGUCCUUCUUAUUGGUGGCUUCCACAUCCAUGCACUCAAUCAAUCUCAGAUCAGAAAAAAUAAAAGAAUAAAAACUACAUCUCUCUGAAGACUAGAUCAGAAAAAAAAAUAACUACAGCAAUAAAAAUACAAAAUUUUAAAAAUUUAGUGUUAACUAUUUACAUAGUAUUUACAUGAUAUUACAUAUUAUAAGUAAUCUAGAGAUGAUUUAAAGUAUAUAGGAGAAUACCCCUAGGUCAUUUGCAAAUACUAUACUAUUUUAUGUAAGGGACUUAAGCAUCCUUUGAUUUUUGUAUCCUUGUGGGUCCUGGAACCAAUUCCCCAUGAAUAGGAAGGGAUGAUUUUUUGGCCCCGAUGUUGCUGAGUCAAGUUGGAUCAGGACAGAGACAUCCCCACUGACUCUGGCCACAUGUCAUUGGAGACUUUGAUAAAACCAGACUUUAUUUGUUUAUUUAAAAUAGAGAUGGGGUCUCACUCCAUUGCCCAGGCUGUUCUCGAACUCCUGGGCUCAAGCAGUCCUCCCCUCUUGGCCUUCCAAAGUGUUAGGAUUACAGGCGUGAGCCACCACGCCUGACCUGGCAAAACCAGAUUCUGAAGGAUUGAGAAAAAUUUACAAAGUAAGGAAUGGAGACAGGAGAUGUUUAAAACUUUUUGGCUGGGCGCGGUGUCCCAUGCCUGUAAUUCCAGCACUUUGGGAGGACGAGGUGGGUGGAUCACCUGAGGUCAGGAAUUCAAGACCGGCCUGGCCUACAUGUGAAACCCCGUCUCUACUAAAAAUACAAAAAUUAGCUGUGUGCGGUGGCAUGUGCCUGUAAUCCCAGCUACUCAGGAGGCUGAGGCAGGAGAAUCGCUUGAGCCUGGGAGGUGGAGGUUGCAGUGAGCCAAUUGCGCCAUUGCACUCCAGCCUGGGUGAUAGAGUGAGACUCUGUCUCAAAAACAAAACAAAAACACAAACAACAACAAAAAAACUUUUCUAAGAUUUUGGCUAUGCUGUGAGGGAAAAAUUAGGCAGAUAGAUGGGUGGUACAGUAAGAGUUAUUUUAGAAAACACUGGCUAAUUUUAAAAAUUAUUCAUUUAAGAUUAGUUUUUAUAAAAUGUAAUAUGUCCAUAUGGUUUAAUAAUCAAAUAAUGCAGAAGCAAUUAUUUGCUGCAUUCCUUACCUCCAGCAAUGAGCCAUUUUAACUUUUUGGCUGAUUCUUCUAUAUGGCUAAAUAUGCUUAUACUGCCAUUCCUUUUUUUUUUUUUUUUUUUUUUUUAAGAUAGAGUCUCACUCUGCUGUCCAGGCUGGAGUGCAAUGGCACAAUCUCGGCUCACUGCAACCUCUGCUUUCCAGGCUCAAGCAAUCCUCCCACUUCGGCCUCCCGAGUAGCUAGGACUAUAGGCACACGCCACCAUGUUCCGCUAAUUUUAAAAUUUUUUUUGUAGAGAUGAAGUCUUAUUGUCUUACCCAGGCUGGUCUGUAACUCCUGGGCUCAAGUGAUUCUCCUGCCUUGGCCUCUCAGUGUUGAGAUUACAGACAUGAGCCACUGCACCCGACCUGAGGACCUCAUUUUUAUGGGCACUAAUUGCACAUCCUUUUUGUUUUUGUUUUUGUUUUUUUUUUUUUGAGACGGAGUCUCGCCCUGUCGCCCAGGCUGGAAUGCAGUCGUGUGAUCUCAGCUCACUGCAACCUCCACCUCCCGGGUUCAAGCGAUUCUCCUGCCCCAGCCUCCCAAGUAGCUGGGAUUACAGGCGCGUGCCACUACGCCCAGCUAAUUUUUGUAUUUUUAGUAGAGAC